rnacentral:rRNA from 1 species
UUUCGCAAUGCCCGAAAGGGUGACGAAGCGACGCCGCGUGGGUGAGGAAGGCCCUCGGGUUGUAAAGCCCUGUCAGGAGUUAAGAAAUGUAGGUGUGCUAAUAUCACACCUAUUUGACGAAGGCUCCAAAGGAAGUCACGGUUAACUCUGUGCCAGCAGCCGCGGUAAUACAGAGGUGGCAAGCGUUGUUCGGAAUUAUUGGGCGUAAAGAGCACGUAGGUGGGUUUGUAAGUCAGAUGUGAAAGCCUCCUGUUCAACGGGAGAAUUGCAUCUGAAACUGCGAAUCUUGAGUGUAGGAGGGGAGAAUGGAACUUCCGGUGGAGCGGUGAAAUGCGUAGAUAUCAGAAGGAACGCCGGCGGCGAAAGCGACUCUCUGGCCUAUUACUGACACUCAGUGUGCGAAAGCUAGGGGAGCAAACGGGAUUAGAUACCCCCGGUAGUCCUAGCCGUAAACGAUGGGCACUAAGUAGAGGGGUUUU